rnacentral:tRNA from 1 species
GGGGGUGUAGCUCAGCCGGUAGAGCAACAGCUUUUUAAGCUGUGGGUCGUGGGUUCGAAUCCCACCGCCCUCA